AUUGAACGCUGGCGGAAUGCUUUACACAUGCAAGUCGAACGGCAGCACGGACUUCGGUCUGGUGGCGAGUGGCGAACGGGUGAGUAAUGUAUCGGAACGUGCCCAGUCGUGGGGGAUAACGUAGUGAAAAUUACGCUAAUACCGCAUACGAUCUAUGGAUGAAAGCGGGGGAUCGCAAGACCUCGCGCGAUUGGAGCGGCCGAUAUCAGAUUAGGUAGUUGGUGGGGUAAAGGCCCACCAAGCCAACGAUCUGUAGCUGGUCUGAGAGGACGACCAGCCACACUGGAACUGAGACACGGUCCAGACUCCUACGGGAGGCAGCAGUUGGGAAUUUUGGACAAUGGGCGAAAGCCUGUUCCAGCCAUUCCGCGUGCAGGAUGAAGGCCCUCGGGUUGUAAACUGCUUUUGUACAGAACGAAAAGGUUUCUACUAAUACUAGGAGCUCAUGACGGUACUGUAAGAAUAAGCACCGGCUAACUACGUGCCAGCAGCCGCCGUAA
rnacentral:rRNA from 1 species